rnacentral:rRNA from 1 species
AACGAACGCUGGCGGCAUGCCUAACACAUGCAAGUCGAUCGAGACCUUCGGGUCUAGUGGCGCACGGGUGCGUAACGCGUGGGAACCUGCCCUUAGGUUCGGAAUAACUCCCCGAAAGGGGUGCUAAUACCGGAUAAUGUCUUCGGACCAAAGAUUUAUCGCCUUUGGAUGGGCCCGCGUUGGAUUAGCUAGUUGGUAGGGUAAAAGCCUACCAAGGCGACGAUCCAUAGCUGGUCUGAGAGGAUGAUCAGCCACACUGGGACUGAGACACGGCCCAGACUCCUACGGGAGGCAGCAGUGGGGAAUAUUGGACAAUGGGCGAAAGCCUGAUCCAGCAAUGCCGCGUGAGUGAUGAAGGCCUUAGGGUUGUAAAGCUCUUUUACCCGGGAUGAUAAUGACAGUACCGGGAGAAUAAGCGCCGGCUAACUCCGUG